rnacentral:rRNA from 1 species
AAGUCGUAACAAGGUUUCCGUAGGUGAACCUGCGGAAGGGAUCGAUUAUCCGAGUUGUAGGUGUCGCCCCGCGCGCCCGAGCCUGCCAAACCUUGGUCUACCUUACCUUAUGUUGCCUUCGGCAGGCCCGCCGCCCCCCCCUUCGUGGGGGUGGCCGCCGGGGGUCCUGUCGUGACCUCGGCCCGCGCCUGGUCGAUGGCCCAAUAAACUCUUGCUAUUAAACGUGUCGUCUGGAGUAAAACAAACAAAAUUAAAACAAAACUUUCAACAACGGAUCUCUUGGGUUCUGGCAUCGAUGAAGAACGCAGCGAAAUGCGAUACAGUAAUGCGAAUUGCAGAAUCCGUGAGUCAUCGAAUCUUUGAACGCAUAUUGCGCCCUCUGGGUAUUCCGGAGGCGAUGCCUGUUCGAGCGUCGAUUAUCACCCCUCAAGCCCGGCUUGUUGUUGGACCCGGCGGGAGCUUCGCGCCCCGCGCCCGUCUCAAAGAUAAUGACGGCGUCUGUGGAGCGACUCCUGUACACUGAGCUGUUCGGCGCACCGUACUAGGCUAGAAGUCCAGCACCGCGGUCUGUUGUCGGCGUCCGCGCCGACACCCCCCCUUCUUUAUCAGGUUUGACCCCCCCUCGGAUCAGGUAGGAAUACCUGAACCU